rnacentral:rRNA from 1 species
AACGAACGCUGGCGGCAUGCCUAACACAUGCAAGUCGAACGCGUGUAGCAAUACACGAGUGGCGGACGGGUGAGAAACGCGUGGGAACCUGCCCAGUGGUAGGGAAUAACUGCGGGAAACUGCAGCUAAUACCCUAUACGCCCUACGGGGGAAAGAUUUAUCGCCAUUGGAGGGGCCCGCGUCCGAUUAGCUAGUUGGUGGGGUAAUGGCCCACCAAGGCAACGAUCGGUAGCUGGUCUGAGAGGAUGAUCAGCCACACUGGGACUGAGAUACGGCCCAGACUCCUACGGGAGGCAGCAGUGGGGAAUAUUGGACAAUGGGGGAAACCCUGAUCCAGCAAUGCCGCGUGAGUGAAGAAGGCCUUAGGGUUGUAAAGCUCUUUCGGCGGGGACGAUGAUGACGGUACCCGCAGAAGAAGCCCCGGCUAACUUCGUGCCAGCCGCCGCAGUAACAC